rnacentral:misc_RNA from 1 species
GAUGAAGAACGCAGCGAAAUGCGAUACUUGGUGUGAAUUGCAGAAUCCCGUGAACCAUCGAGUCUUUGAACGCAAGUUGCGCCCGAAGCCAUUAGGCCGAGGGCACGCCUGCCUGGGCGUCACACGUCGUUGCCCCCCCAUCUACUCCUUCGGGAUUGCGGGGGGCGGAUGAUGGCCUCCCGUGCGCCUAGUCGCGCGGUUGGCAUAAAAUCCAAGUCCUCGGCGACGCACGCCACGACAAUCGGUGGUUGCGAAACCUCGGUUGCCCGUCGUGUGCGGUCGUCGCGCAUCGAGGGCUCGAAAAAAUUGCCGGGCUCCGGCUCGGCUUUCAACGCGACCCCAGGUCAGGCGGGGUUACCCGCUGAAUUUAAGCAUAUCAAUAAGCGGAGGA